AUUAGACCUUUCCCAUUCCUCAAAAUUUUUCCCACUAAAAUUUUCAGUUAACAAUUUCAAGUAAAUUUGAAAUUCAAAAGAAACAUAUCCUUAUUCAUUCAGAGUAGAGCCCGAAAUAGAAGCGUAAACAUCAAAGUCACAUGAUUUGAUAGUCAUGACAAAUUCAAGUUCUAGUAAGAGAAAUUCUGCAAAGAAAAAAGGUAGAAAGAUGACACCUCCAAUUAUUCGAUCAACACUACCCAUGGUAUGUACAUUUUCACUCAUUUUCGUAUCUUUUUCUUUAGUUUGAUGAUUCUUAUUUUUUCAUUUAAGUAUCAUUUAUUUCAACUUUUCAUUGCACACAUGGAACAUUGAAUUUUGUAAUACUUUUAUAUUUUGCACAUGAACAUUGAUGUAUCUUAGAUAUUUUUUAUAGUAUCAGUUUGAUCUGUUUAUUUUCUGUCACUUUAUAUAAUGACUAAUGAAAUUUGUGAACCAAACUAAGAACA